UUCAAAUGAGAAAUGGUCUGAAACCGAUGUACUGAAGCUAGCUGCUGCAGUAGAAUCCAACACACUUCAUCCAAUUGGGAAAGCUAUUCUGGAAGCUGCCCGGGCUGCUAAAUGUUCUAACGUAAAGACUGAUGAUGGAACAUUUAUGGAAGAACCUGGAUCUGGUGCCGUAGCCUCUUGUGGGAAGAAGAUGGUUUCUGUCGGUACAUUGGAAUGGGUUAGAAGUCGUCAUUAG
rnacentral:lncRNA from 1 species